AUUGAACGCUGGCGGCAGGCCUAACACAUGCAAGUCGAACGAGUGGCGGACGGGUGAGUAAUGUCUGGGAAACUGCCUUAUGGAGGGGGAUAACUACGGGAAACGGUAGCUACUACCGCAUACCAUCAGAUGUGCCCAGGUGGGAUUAGCUAGUUGGUGGGGUAAAGGCUCACCAAGGCGACGAUCCCUAGCGGGUCUGAGAGGAUGAACGGCCAAACUGGAACUGAGACACGGCCCAGACUCCUACGGGAGGCAGCAGUGGGGAAUAUUGCACAAUGGGCGCAAGCCUGAUGCAGCCAUGCCGCGUGUAUGAAGAAGGCCUUCGGGUUGUAAAGUACUUUCAGUGGGGAGGCGUUACCCACAGAAGAAGCACCGGCUAACUCCGUGCCAGCAGCCGCGGUAAUUC
rnacentral:rRNA from 1 species